UACGAAGGGGGCUAGCGUUGCUCGGAAUCACUGGGCGUAAAGCGCACGUAGGCGGAUUCCUAAGUCGGUGGUGAAAUCCUGGAGCUCAACUCCAGAACUGCCUCCGAUACUGAGAGUCUUCGAGUCCGGGAGAGGUGAGUGGAACUGCGAGUGUAGAGGUGAAAUUCGUAGAUAUUCGCAAGAACACCAGUGGCGAAGGCGGCUCACUGGCCCGUAUACGACGCUGAGGUGCGAAAGCGUGGGGAGCAAACAGGAUUAGAAUCCGA
rnacentral:rRNA from 1 species